rnacentral:rRNA from 1 species
AACGAACGCUGGCGGCAUGCCUAACACAUGCAAGUCGAACGAGACCUUCGGGUCUAGUGGCGCACGGGUGCGUAACGCGUGGGAACCUGCCUUUAGGUUCGGAAUAACUCAGAGAAAUUUGAGCUAAUACCGGGUGAUGUCUUCGGACCAAAGAUUUAUCGCCUUUAGAUGGGCCCGCGUUGGAUUAGCUAGUUGGUGGGGUAAAGGCCUACCAAGGCGACGAUCCAUAGCUGGUCUGAGAGGAUGAUCAGCCACACUGGGACUGAGACACGGCCCAGACUCGUACGGGAGGCAGCAGUGGGGAAUAUUGGACAAUGGGCGAAAGCCUGAGCCAGCAAUGCCGCGUGAGUGAUGAAGGACUUAGGGUUGUAAAGCUCUUUUACCCGAGAUGAGAAUGACAGUAUCGGGAGAAUAAGCGCCGGCUAACUCCGUG